rnacentral:tRNA from 1 species
GGGAUGUAGCUUAAUGGUAGAACUCCUACUCAGCAUGUAAACGGCCCUGGGUUCAAUCCCCAGCACUCA